AUACGUAGGGAGCGAGCGUUGUCCGGAAUUACUGGGUGUAAAGGGUGCGUAGGCGGGACUGCAAGUCAGAUGUGAAAUGCCGGGGCUCAACCCCGGAGCUGCAUUUGAAACUGUGGUUCUUGCGUGAGGUAGAGGUAAGCGGAAUUCCUAGUGUAGCGGUGAAAUGCGUAGAUAUUAGGAGGAACAUCGGUGGCGAAGGCGGCUUACUGGGCCUUUACUGACGCUGAGGCACGAAAGCGUGGGGAGCAAACAGGAUUAGAUACCCUGGUAGUCCACGCUGUAAACGAUGAUGACUAGGUGUGGGGGGACUGAACCCUUCCGUGCCGCAGUUAACACAAUAAGUCAUCCACCUGGGGAGUACGGCCGCAAGGUUGAAACUAAAAUGAAUUGGCGGG
rnacentral:rRNA from 1 species